UACGUAGGGGGCAAGCGUUGUCCGGAAUCAUUGGGCGUAAAGCGCGUGUAGGCGGCUGAGUAAGUCUGCUCUGAAAGCCCGGGGCUCAACCCCGGGAGGCGGGUGGAUACUGCUCAGCUCGAGUCCGGAAGAGGAGUGAGGAAUUCCUGGUGUAGCGGUGAAAUGCGCAGAUAUCAGGAAGAACACCCGUGGCGAAAGCGGCUCUCUGGAACGGUACUGACGCUGAGACGCGAAAGCGUGGGGAGCGAACAGG
rnacentral:rRNA from 1 species